rnacentral:lncRNA from 1 species
GCUGGUUCCAUGAGACCAUACAGCUUAAGUCACUGAGUGAUUUUAUUUCUUCUGGUAAGCAAAAACUUGCACCAAACAUCAUUAACAUAAUAUAUAGACUUACUUAACCUCCGAAGGUUUGAAAGCAAGUAAUAAAAAUGACAUGAAUUAAGAUAGACUCUUUAAGAAAAUUCGUAAAAGAAAUUCUUGAUGAAAUUCAGGGAAGCUGAAAGAUCAAAUCUGUUCACUGUGAUUUGCCAUUUCUGGCUUUUAAGCUAUGCUAUGCAUCCAAUUGCAUUCCUACUGUGAUACCUUCAGUAUCUGCCUCUUGUGCUGAAAACCCAGCCUUUCUUCCUAAUUUGCUACCUUUAAACAAAAAACAAAAGUAGUAUUCACCAAAGCUGUAAAACUUGCCUGUCUUCUUCCUUCGGGUUUUAUUAGAAUCACAUAGGAGUUUGAAGUGGAUUUCACAUGGGAGUUCCACGUUUUGUAACUAUGUAAAUACAAGAUUUAGAAUAUAUAUUCGUAGGCUUUGUUUUAGUUUUUAAUAAGUUGACUUGCGGAAUCAAACUCUAUAACACAGAGAUGGGUUAUAAAGCAGGUAUGUUUAUUCCAGCGCUGGGUGCAAGGGGGAUAGCUCCUCCAAACUUGCACCCGGACUUGUAAAACCGUGAUACAGAUAUAGGUACACCUCAUGCAUAGUCAAUGAUUUCCCGUAAUUCUGAUACAUAUUCUUUAUCGUGCAAACCCCCUCUUGUUAUCGCCCAUCUUGUCAGGGAGAUGCAAAUAUCAAAAGAGGAGUUGCAACACCUAAUCCCCUUCUCGCCAGGUGUCUCAGGGAGUUCUCACUCCUUAAUCUUCAUCCUUCCUGCUCUCCCAGACCCACUGUCUCCAUUCCUUGUUAUUCUAACUAACUAAAUCAUUUUCUGUAAACUACCUUUAACUAUCCCCCUUUUAGCCCCCCUUUGUUCUAAAUUCCAGCAGAGCCUCUGCUUCUUGCUUCACUGUUCAGAUGUAUCUUUUUCUUUCACACGUUUCUUGUGUAUUUCAGUUACUAACUCAUUAAAGCGUGAGCUGCUUACCUCUCUGCAUUAGCAUGACCUCGUCUAUGUAGCAGACAUCACGUUCUGAUUAACUAAUAUCAUUUGCAGUUUCCAAAGCGAUAUAACAG